rnacentral:rRNA from 1 species
ACACUCCUGCGGGAGGCAGCGGUGGGGAAUAUCGCACAAUGGGCGCAAGCCUGAUGCAGCCAUGCCGCGUGUAUGAAGAAGGCCUUCGGGUUGUAAAGUACUUUCAGCGGGGAGGAAGGCGAUAAGGUUAAUAACCUUGUCGAUUGACGUUACCCGCAGAAGAAGCACCGGCUAACUCCGUGCCAGCAGCCGCGGUAAUACGGAGGGUGCAAGCGUUAAUCGGAAUUACUGGGCGUAAAGCGCACGCAGGCGGUCUGUCAAGUCGGAUGUGAAAUCCCCGGGCUCAACCUGGGAACUGCAUUCGAAACUGGCAGGCUAGAGUCUUGUAGAGGGGGGUAGAAUUCCAGGUGUAGCGGUGAAAUGCGUAGAGAUCUGGAGGAAUACCGGUGGCGAAGGCGGCCCCCUGGACAAAGACUGACGCUCAGGUGCGAAAGCGUGGGGAGCAAACAGGAUUAGAAACCCCUGUAGUCCC